rnacentral:lncRNA from 1 species
AACCCCCAGUGGAGUGUAGCUCUUCAAGGGCCUUGUCUUGUGUCCCCAGAGCCUGGCACAGGACCUGGUUCCCGGGAAGCGCUCAUGAAGGUCUGUUGGACAAAUCAUGGAAGCCAUGACCAGAAGAUGGAGGGAUGAACCAAGGAAGCUACAGCAAGAUGAUUUUCAGAAUGGGUGGUUGCUGAGAGCGCAUCGCCCGGAAACUGAUAAGCCGGAAGGCUACAGAAGUUUCAAGGAAGUAAGUCCGAAGUCUUGCAAAGAAGGCGGCUAUCAGGCCUGGAUCUCUCCUCGUGGCAGCUGUAGGAAACACAGGAACUCCGUGACCUGGAAAAUGUGGGACAACUGCCACAAGGUGACCCUGGAAGGCUGGGGUAGGCCCAAUUAAUUUAAAAUUUUGCUUGGCCUUGUCUCUUCCAAUUUUCUAAAUCCUCUGGAAAA